rnacentral:rRNA from 1 species
CCUACGGGUGGCUGCAGUGGGGAAUAUUGCACAAUGGGCGCAAGCCUGAUGCAGCCAUGCCGCGUGUGUGAAGAAGGCCUUCGGGUUGUAAAGCACUUUCAGCGGGGAGGAAGGCGUUAAGGUUAAUAACCUUGUCGAUUGACGUUACCCGCAGAAGAAGCACCGGCUAACUCCGUGCCAGCAGCCGCGGUAAUACGGAGGGUGCAAGCGUUAAUCGGAAUUACUGGGCGUAAAGCGCACGCAGGCGGUCUGUCAAGUCGGAUGUGAAAUCCCCGGGCUCAACCUGGGAACUGCAUUCGAAACUGGCAGGCUAGAGUCUUGUAGAGGGGGGUAGAAUUCCAGGUGUAGCGGUGAAAUGCGUAGAGAUCUGGAGGAAUACCGGUGGCGAAGGCGGCCCCCUGGACAAAGACUGACGCUCAGGUGCGGAAGCGUGGGGAGCAAACAGGAUUAGAUACCCUAGUAGUC